AAUAGAUACCCCGGUAGUCCUAGCCGUAAACGAUGAACACUAGGCGUAGUCGGUAUCGACCCCGGCUGUGCCGUAGCUAACGCAUUAAGUGUUCCGCCUGGGGAGUACGGCCGCAAGGCUAAAACUCAAAGGAAUUGACGGGGGCCCGCACAAGCAGCGGAGCGUGUGGUUUAAUUCGUCGCAACGCGAAGAACCUUACCAGGGCUUGACAUGUGGCGGAAAACGGCGGAAACGUCGUCCUCCCGCAAGGGACCGUCAUGCAGGUGUUGCAUGGCUAUCGUCAGCUCGUGUCGUGAGAUGUUGGGUUAAGUCCCGCAACGAGCGCAACCCCCGUGGCAUGUUGUAUCUCUCAUGCCAGACUGCCGAGAGAAACUCGGAGGAAGGUGGGGAUGACGCCAAGUCAGCAUGGCCCUUACGUCCUGGGCUACACACACGCUACAAUGGCCGGUACAACGGGUUGCCAAACCGCGAGGUGGAGCUAAUCCCUUAAAAGCCGGUCUCAGUUCGGAUUGCAGGCUGCAACUCGCCUGCAUGAAGCCGGU
rnacentral:rRNA from 1 species